UGUCAGAACAAACCUGCCAGUGCGGUACCGGCUUCAAUCGGGAGGGGACGCGAACGCGCGCUGACUUAUCGAUCUCCACGCUAGCGUAUGACACUGUGUUAUUUUGAUGUUUUUUAACAAAAAAACGUGACAAAUAAUAAACUAAACUACUAAAAAUUCGUAAACAGUUCGCGUGUUGUCGGAGGUUUCAGUUUAUUUCAAUUUUUUUAAUUCUAAUUUUGUGCUUGACUGAAAACAUUGCUGUUAUGUGCGAUGAUAAUGGAAUUGUUUUCGGAAUUAAAAUGAGAUUCGCAAAAACAUGCAAAUAAAUCGGAGACAUUGAAACCACGAAAAACACGAACGAACGAAAUGUGUUCCCACUAACUCUUAACCUGAACGCAUCCAAAAUAGAAAGAGAAAGAAACAGCGCAACAGAGCUGCGUCCCAAAAUAGUGCGUUCGAAAAUAGAAAAAAAAUGCCUAGCUCCCAAUCAGUUACCGAAAAGAGCGCGGCGGGUGCGGACGCCGCACUGUGGUGGCAAACACCAUGGAAAGCUAUGGCCGACCUAGCCGAAGCAGUUGACGACCUCAUAUGUAGCUUCGAUUACAUGGACACAGCCAUGGACAACCUAGUCAUGCUGAUCUUCAUAUGGAUUCUGUUCUCCAUCGUGCUCCUCGGCAUAGCGAAAUGGGCGUACGCCCGCUUCGCCAAUAAGGCUGUCGAGGUCGACACAAAACAAAAGCCAACGACUGAUGAGACGAAAAAAACAACGAACGAAAUAAUAAACAGUGCUGAUAGUGUAUUAGCUACUAGUGCUAAAGUUAAAAGUGCCUCGUUUAAGCCUGCUAAGCCGACUGGGUUCGUGCCUGCGACCCCGCCGAACAAGCGGCGCUUGGGCCGCAUGUCCCCAGGCCCCGAACAGCUGACGUUAAAAAAGCAUCAAAGCGUGCUAGUACCAACAUGUACGGGCCCCGACCCGCCGAGUGUGCAAUGGGUGAACGACCUAUUGACGUGGUUAUAUAAUGAUCUAGUUAUUGUGAAUGAACUAGUACAGCAAUGGAUUGUGUCCAUGAACGAGUUCUCCAAGAAGUCCGUCGAAGAGCAAGGUAUCGGCGUGGAACUGGUGCGAGCUCUGGACAGCCAUCCGCCCAACAUCUCCAACGUGUUCUGCGAGUGUGACUCCAAAGAUGAUGUCACGAUCACAUGUGACUGUGAAGCCACCCCCGCCUUCCAGCUGAAGGCAUUCAGCCAGCGAGGGGAGAAGGUAGAGGUCUCACACUACAGAGUCAAUGUUAAUAGGUUCCGCGCCCGUUUGAACGUGGUCUGCGUGACGGACAAGUUGACAGGCGAGCUGAAAUGCGACGGCUGGCCCGAAGUGAAGGUGGCACUGGCGCCAGUGGGGGCGCUCCGGCCUAAUGCUACCGAGAGUAAUAUGCAACAAACUAUCAGUGACAUAGUAGUGAACGCGCUACGCAGCACGAACCUGCAGUUCAGCCUAGCUCAGUACCCGACGUGCCCGCGCCUGCGCAGGUACGUCGAGACGCCCGGGCCCAGGCUGCCGCUGCACUAUGAUUCUAUGCUACAACAAGACAGACAAAUGUACACAUCUACCCCCAACUCGACAGCCGGCAGCGUCACCCUGCUCGGAGACAAGAGGCUGCUCGUCAAGCUGGUCUGCGCCAAGGACUUGGGAGGUAAAACGGGUUGCAUAGCUCCGUAUUGCGUGGUUGAAAUGGAUGAGCCUCCGCAGAAGAAUCAGACAGCUUUCAAGAAGGAUACUAACAACCCACAGUGGGAGGAACACUUCUUAUUUGACCUGUCCCCGCAGACGGCGGAGCUUCUGUUCGAGGUGUAUGACCGCACUGGUCCUCCAUCUCCCGGGGGAGGACCCUCGCAGAACAGGUUCCUGGGCCUGGGUCUGGUGGGAAUAGACGAGCUGCUGGCAGCACCCUCGCAGCGCCAGCAGAUCGCGCUGCAGACGCGGCCCAUGGAGGAGCACGACGUCAGUGGCACACUCACUGUCGAGUUCCUCUUCAUCGAGGGUGCAGACAUCCCGGACCUGGGCUCCCGGCCCGUCAAGAUCAAGGAGAGUCUGCGGACACUGUCGCCACAUGGUCACCUCACCACCACCACCAAGACUAUAUUCAAGCAAAAUGGCCAUGACAACUCUCAGCUGACGGAAUCAGCGCUGAGAGAACUGGAGCUGAGCCCCACCAGCGCUGCCAACAAAUCCACGCUCAUCAUACACUCUGUGCAGAGGGGUGACUACGUGCAGCAUCAGAACGAGAGCUCGCCGCCCGAGCCAGCGCCGCGCAAGCGGAGGAGGGACUUCUUCGGGACUAUUAAGAGAAGAUUGGGUCGGUCCCGCACUCGCGGAGCCUCGCUGGACCUGACGGACUCGGAGGUGGAGAACCAGAGUCGCAUCCGCAGCAUCAGCGCUGAGAGGAACGCCCAUGAGAAAGCGCUAUCGAUCCCCAACAGGAACGUGUACUCCGCCGGGGCGUCGCCCGCGCAGUCCGGGGACGAGUCACGCACCUCCAGGAGGUCAUCUCUUAGCGAAGUGUCCGGAUUCAGCACAGCAUCAGCUAGGACGUUCAUCCACGAGGCUUCGACCCUGGUGCUGGAGACCAUAGAAGCUGGUAUCAAGAAGCACUACUUGGUGCCGCUGACCAUCGCCCAGAGAUCAAGAUGGCGGCGGAAGGGCGUUAAGCUCCAUAUCUAUAAUGAGCAUACUUUUAUUGCUAAACAUCUUAGUGGUGGCACAGUUUGCGAAGUAUGCACUAAGACUAUAGCGCGGCGGCUCGGCAAGCAAGGCUACGAGUGCCGCGACUGUACGCUCAAGUGCCACAAGCAUUGCCACGUCAAAGUGGCAACCAAUUGCCCCCGGUCCACCGUGCACAAUAUGGAGCUGUCCCAUUCCCAUAGCUUUGGAAAUGGAAGAUCCAUGCUCCCUGUGUUAAGUGAAUAGUCAAGCUAAGCGAGAAGACUGCAAGAAAAAAUUAUAAAAAAAAUACAAAAAAAAAUAAAACAAGCAAUUUUCACUCAGGACUUACAUCGCAUCUCCGUACACAGACAAAAAUAUAAGGAUGUUGUGAUAGUUCAUAAAAAAGCUUGCGAUAUGCACAAAGCAUCGUUUUAAAAAAUCUACUUAAAUUAUUUAAAAAAACUAAGUACAACACUAUGUACCCAGCUGACAUAUACAAUAUAUAGGCUUUUUUACAUAUAUUUAUAUGAAAAAAUGAAGUUUAAAAAUUAGAUUUUAAGUAAAUCGUAGGAUUUCUAAGCGUCGCUGACUAUUUAAAAAUCUUUAAAAAUGUUACCCGCUUGUCUAUGUAGGAAAAUGUUUUAUUCAGAUGUAAUGGAAUUAAGACACAAUAUACUGCUCUGUUGAAUAUAAAUGUGAAUUAAGAUUUAAUGAUAGCUUAUACAAAAUGUUGGCCGACUGUUUGGCAACUGUUGCGCCGCUUCCGUCUGAGUAAGGGCCGAUUUUUCAAUCGCCAGAUAACUCCUAUCUGAGGAAUAUUUUUAAUGUUUUGACAGCUUUUGUAUGGAAAAUAUGUCAAACCGCCAUAUUUAUUCCUCAGAUAGAAGUUAACUGAUGAUUGAAAAAUCAGCCCUAAAUCAGGUUCCCUUGGCGUAAAUUGUUAGACUUAGUUUAGGUAUCGCUAGAGCCCACCAUCAAAGCCAAUUUCGAAGCAAAAUAUUAGAUUUCAUUACCACAUAAUAAUAAUUAUAAAUGUCAGCCAAAAAUUAAGAAUUUCACACAAAAUUUUCUACCUCAUUUCUUCAAAGUUACGACAAUAUCAAAAAAAGAAUUAUAGUUACCAUUACAUAUUAUCUUUUUGUUUAUUUUGUUGUUGGAAACACAGAAUGUUUUUUUUUAAUUAAAAAUGAAAAUGUAUAACUCGAAAUAUUUAUUUUUUAGUUUUAAUAAAUGUGCUUUUUCGCACAAAAUGUGAUCUGUAAUCGUCGAAUGUGCAAUAAGUCUAAUAUUUAAUAAUAAACACGCGCUUUGAGCUUUCAAAUUUAUACAUUACUAUCUUAGAAAAUAAAUAAUUGGCCAUAAAUUGACAGUGACCACCUAGUAGUUUUUUGAAAUUAUAACUGGAGAACAUACCCUAUAUUGAACAUAUUCAAUAAUGUAACUGCUCAGUUUAGUCGAUUCUAACAUCCAUUUUAUUCGACUAAUCAUAAUCGAAUCAGAAUCGAUUAUUCCCUGACUUGAAGCCAAGACAUGCCUACAUUUUCAAAUUAAAGCUACAUUCAGUAGUUCAAGCGCAGUAAAGCGACGUGGACCAUUCAGAAAUACGAAAAUCUCAAUCUCCAGUAAUAAUUUAGAUUAAAUCGUAUGUAAGAACGCGUAUUGUUGAUUUUUUGUUCAUUAGAGUGACUGAAUUGUAAAGGUAUUGCUACAAAUAUUUUGUGCCUUAGUUUCCCUCCUUAAAACAUAAAUUAGGUCUAGGAUCAGAAGUAUGGUACUAAUUACUGACUGCACAUGUUACAAUGCUAGAGAUGUUUAGUCGAUUUUAUUGCCAGAGUGUGCCUAAAUACAUGAUUUAAUAAUCGACUAAUUUUUUUACCGUUUUACAAGUUGUAAGUUAUAUCGAAAUAUACAUUUUUUAAUAUUAUAAUCCUAGUCGAUUAGUGUUCUCCGGAGCCAAGUACAUAAUAUUUGUAGCACAUUUUUUUAAGUUAAAAUAAAUGUUCAUAUUAAUUAAUACAUGACAAACCAUAAGUGUAUCUUUGUAUGCUAAGAUUGUUAACGCAUAAUGUUUUAUGUGGAUCCAUAUAAAAUAUACUAUUAUUAUUAUUUAUAAAUGUUGCGCUAUGUGUUCUAUGUAAUUUUAUUUUUCCUCUUUUUUAAUAAAAUGCCUUUUUUUCA
rnacentral:misc_RNA from 1 species